UUCGACUGCAGUUUACUCGCU
ensembl:piRNA 21ur-5634 ncRNA